rnacentral:rRNA from 1 species
UACGUAGGGUGCAAGCAUUAAUCGGAUUUAUUGGGCGUAAAGGGCGCGCAGGCGGCCUUAGAAGUCAGAUGUGAAAGCCCCGGGCUCAACCUGGGAAUGGCAUUUGAUACUCUGAGGCUGGAGUACGGGAGAGGAGAGUGGAAUUCCCAGUGUAGAGGUGAAAUUCGUAGAUAUUGGGAAGAACACCGGUGGCGAAGGCGGCUCUCUGGACCGUAACUGACGCUGAGGCGCGGAAAGCGUGGGGAGCAAACAGGG